AGACGUUGCGGACCCGGGGGCGGUACCCGGCGCCUCCACCACUCUCCCUUAAGAGUGGCCCAAUUCUUUAGAUGCGGGGGCGAAAUAGGAUCGACGUGCGUAAUAAAGAUAUAACUUUUGCUCAGUAUGAUACCGCUGUGACGGGUCAAAAUUUGUAGAUGCAAACGAUAAUAAUGAAGCAUUUGCUGUAGCAGCCUAACAGCUAGUUACGCGGGGUUCGGAGGGCACCUAGCAACAGAAGCCCUUCACU
rnacentral:tmRNA from 1 species